rfam:Nematostella vectensis strain CH2 x CH6 NEMVEscaffold_7231_Cont52749, whole genome shotgun sequence.
GCCGUGAUCGUAUUCUGGUUAGUACAUUGCGUUGUGUCCGCAAAAAUACCCAGGUUCGGAUCCUGGUCACGGCA